rnacentral:rRNA from 1 species
GACGAACGCUGGCGGCGUGCUUAACACAUGCAAGUCGAACGGAAAGGCCCUGCUUUUGUGGGGUGCUCGAGUGGCGAACGGGUGAGUAACACGUGAGUAACCUGCCCUUGACUUUGGGAUAACUUCAGGAAACUGGGGCUAAUACCGGAUAGGAGCCCCUGCUGCAUGGUGGGGGUUGGAAAGUUUCGGCGGUUGGGGAUGGACUCGCGGCUUAUCAGCUUGUUGGUGGGGUAGUGGCUUACCAAGGCUUUGACGGGUAGCCGGCCUGAGAGGGUGACCGGCCACAUUGGGACUGAGAUACGGCCCAGACUCCUACGGGAGGCAGCAGUGGGGAAUAUUGCACAAUGGGCGGAAGCCUGAUGCAGCAACGCCACGUGCGGGAUGACGGCCUUCGGGUUGUAAACCGCUUUCGCCUGUGACGAAGCGUGAGUGACGGUAAUGGGUAAAGAAGCACCGGCUAACUACGUG